UGCCAGCAGCCGCGGUAAUAUAGAGGGUGUAAACGUUGUUCGGAAUUAUUGGGCGUAAAGCGCGUGUAGGUGGUAUGUUAAGUCGAUUGUGAAAGCCCAUAGCUUAACUAUGGAAGUGCAGUCGAUACUGGUAAGCUCGAGUCCCGGAGAGGAUGAUGGAAUUCCCAGUGUAGAGGUGAAAUUCGUGGAUAUUGGGAGGAACACCGGUGGCGAAGGCGAUCAUCUGGACGGGUACUGACGCUGAGGCACGAAAGCGUGGGGAGCGAACAGGAUUAGAUA
rnacentral:rRNA from 1 species